AACGAACGCUGGCGGCAUGCCUAACACAUGCAAGUCGAACGAGACCUUCGGGUCUAGUGGCGCACGGGUGCGUAACGCGUGGGAACCUGCCCUUAGGUUCGGAAUAACUCCCCGAAAGGGGUGCUAAUACCGGAUAAUGUCUUCGGACCAAAGAUUUAUCGCCUUUGGAUGGGCCCGCGUUGGAUUAGCUAGUUGGUAGGGUAAAAGCCUACCAAGGCGACGAUCCAUAGCUGGUCUGAGAGGAUGAUCAGCCACACUGGGACUAAGACACGGCCCAGACUCCUACGGGAGGCAGCAGUGGGGAAUAUUGGACAGUGGGGGAAAGCCUGAUCCAGCAAUGCCGCGUGAGUGAUGAAGGCCUUAGGGUUGUAAAGCUCUUUUACCCGGGAUGAUAAUGACAGUACCGGGAGAAUAAGCUCCGGCUAACUCCGUG
rnacentral:rRNA from 1 species